ACUCCGACUGGGUGCCACCUUCGAAAGCAGCGAUUUGAUCUGUUCAUCUGGCUCAUACGAAUGUUACGGAAGCAAUGCGCAACUUGUUUCACAAGAAGCCGAAGAUGUCUCGUCCGGGAUGCUGUGCCAACCUUAUCUGCAGCAGGAGAUUGCAGGGGCAGGACUAGGCAGCAGAUAAAGGCAUUCUGGCACCACCGAAAAGCUUGCACUCCACGUCUCAACUAUCACCGUCUGGGUUUCAAGCUGAAGGCUGUCACCAGUGCCAACCAGACGCCCCUUCAAAGUUCAUCUGUUUUUGUUGACGGAACAGUGACACCUGGUAAACCUGUCACGCAGAUGCCCUACCCCUUGGUAUGCAUAGUUCAAGAUUGUACUGAAACAAUCCACCUGGAGCAUUAUUCUUCAAUUGGCAGUGGCAUUACUAUCACAACACACCACCUACUGCAUGUCUAUGGUGCGUGUACAAUGCAUCAAACCUAUUCUCAGGUACAGGCCAGGUGGUACGCAAUUACAACAUGAAACAACUGACACAGAGACCGUAAAGUCAUGCCUUUUCCUCCGCGCCUCGGGUUUCAUGUUAUUAUCCUCACAUGCAGCUCAAUUCGCCUGUGCUGUGCAGCAUGAGCAAAAGCAUAUAUUGUUUGUGGUCACAUGACACGGAACAUAAAUACAGUGAAACCUUCCUAUGUUGGACACCCGCGGUGCAGCCGAAGCGUCUCCUACUUAUAGAGGUGUCCGAGUUACAGACUAUGACGGCAACAAAAAAUGGAAGAGAUCACAGCUGUGAGAAAUGCCUCCCUUCUUCAAUUUAAGGUCCUUAAUGGUACCUGGUGGUGGUGCCUGGUGCACGCCUGGUAGUGGUACCCCUACCCACUCUUCACUGAUAAUUAUUACUGAUUUUAGUAUAUUCAAUUCUGUUCAGAUUCUACUCAAUGGCAUUACCUCUGGAGCUUUUCGAGCAGCAAGGACUUGUCUCUGAAGCGUCAGCCCACUUCUCAUAGCUUUGGUGCAGUGCUCGUUCAAAGGCUCUAGACAAACUGAAGACAAGUGCUCACAUAAAGA